CCUACGGGGGGCAGCAGUGGGGAAUAUUGCACAAUGGGGGAAACCCUGAUGCAGCGACGCCGCGUGAGUGAAGAAGUAAUUCGUUAUGUAAAGCUCUAUCAGCAAGGAAGAAAAUGACGGUACCUGAGUCAGAAGCCCCGGCUAACUACGUGCCAGCAGCCGCGGUAAUACGUAGGGGGCAAGCGUUAUCCGGAUUUACUGGGUGUAAAGGGAGCGUAGACGGCAGUGCAAGUCUGGAGUGAAAGGCGGGGGCUCAACCCCCGGACUGCCCUGGAAACUGUACGGCUGGAGUGCAGGAGAGGUAAGUGGAAUGCCUAGUGUAGCGGUGAAAUGCGUAGAUAUUAGGUGGAACACCAGUUGCGAAGGCGGCUUACUGGACUUUAACUGACGUUGAGGCUCGAAAGCGUGGGUAGCAAACAGGAUUAGAUACCCUUGUAGUC
rnacentral:rRNA from 1 species